AGUAAGGUAGGAUAAUAUAAGUCUGUAAGGUUCAUACCCUUAAGGUGUUAAUCCCUUAUUA
rnacentral:tRNA from 2 species